AUGAGCCGUCGGAUCUCCUAGUAAGGAGGCCGGGGCCGUCAGAUCCGGUGACCCCGGUCUCCUCACCGGCGGAUCCGGCGCCAAGA
rnacentral:pre_miRNA from 3 species